AACGAACGCUGGCGGCAUGCCUAACACAUGCAAGUCGAACGACACCUCCGGGUCUGGUGUCGCACGGGUUCGUAACGCGUGGGGACCUGCCCUUAGGUUCGGCAUAACUCCCCGAAUGGGGUGCUAAUACCGGGUAAUAUCUUCCGACCAACGAUAUAUUGACUUUGGUGGGGCGCGUGUGGGAUUAGCUUGUUGGUAGGGUAAAAGCGUACCACGGCGACGAUCCGUAGCUGGUUGGAGAGGACGAGCAGCCACACUGGAAGGGAGACACGGCCCAGAAUCUUACGGGAGGGAGGAGAGGGGAAUAUCGGACAAGGGGCGAAAGCGUGAACGAGCAAUGCGGGGUAAACGGUGUUGGCCGGAGAGUAGUAAAGCUCUUUUAACCGGGAGGAUAAUGACAGUACCGGGAGAAUAAGCCACGGCUAACUCCGUG
rnacentral:rRNA from 1 species